AGGCGGGAUAAUUUUUUAAGGGAUCCGCGCGUUUCAAAAAUUGAUUAAUUAGGGUUUUAAUCAAAGAACUCCUCUACCAAAAUUCUAAAUCGCUGCUCCCCCUCCGCUCCCUUACGUCUGAUUUGAUUGAAGAACUCAGCCUCUUGCAGAACAAACACAAGCAAUUUCACCUCUCAGGGUGAACCGAUAGAAAAUUGAAGGGCCAUCAUCUGGUUUGAUCUUAAAAUCUUGUGUUGCUGAUUGAUGAAGGUACGCUGUUUUUGCCCUAAGUUUACCCCAAUGGAUUAGUUGACUCUUAAAUCGGUUCUUAUUUGGUGAUUUGGAGUGUUUCGUUUAAGGGCUUUGUGUUGUUGUUUAGAAAAUUUUGAUGGGUGGUUGUGUAAUUUAGGCGUUUCGAGUGGAUCAGAAAUUACUUAUAUCAAUGGAUUGUUAUGGUUUAAUUUGUUUGUUAGUUAUCUGCAGGGUUUCGUAAAUCACAGAUGGCUUUAUGAGCUGUAGUGAUAAAUUUUAAGCAUAAUCUUGAAUGAACUUACAUAAUGGUGGUUAUAUGAUGUAAUUUUGAUGGGACUUGCAAAUGGAAAUGGGACAAUGUCGAAGAAUGUAUGUCUGGUAUCAGUAGCCAGUAGCCAUAUUAAUGGAUUGGAUUAAUACAAUCAUAGUAUUUUACUUGAUUCAUGUUAAAAACGGGUUUAGCCGUUCAAUAUUAGUCGCCAACUCAAAUGGUUCAUUUAUCAUGUCAGUUUUAUAUAUGCACAUUUAUAGGAAUCAAUCAUGAACUCCCCUUUAACAACCUUAUAGAGGUCAGACCUGCUGGGUAACAGAUCUAAAUAAGAAAGGUUUUUAUAUGAAUGCAGUUAGGUCGACCAAGAAACACCUUUUUGUUUAUUCUUUAUUUAUUUUUAUUUUUUUAUUACUUUGUUUUUAGCCCAUCCUAGAAUGAACCCGUCCUUUGAGAUUCCCCUCCCCAUGCUUUCUGAGGUGACUCUAAUAAAAAAGAUGUGUUUCUAAAUGGUUUAUUAUUUUAUAAUAUGGGUUUGACGAGUUCUUUUGGAUCGCAGUGGAUUAUGAAGUGGUUGUUUUGGAAUUGCAAACAUGGUUCACAAAUUAUGAUAGAUCCUGCUGCGGCUGUUUGAUGAGCUUGUUCAAGCCAGACAUGGGUCUGUGAAUGGUUCCAACUGCAAGGAAUUGGGAGGGCUAAGAAAUGUUGAUGGUUUCAUAGUUGGUGGAGCCUCUCUCAAGAUUGAAAAGUUGAACUUAGUUAUCAAGGAGCUCGUUAAGGAAAAUAAUGAAGAAAAAGAAAGGCUAAAUGGAAUUAUUGCCGGGUUGUUGGCUGAAAAAGAAAAAUAUAAGGUGGAUAAAGAUGCUAUGCUUGAUACGAUGUCACAAAUUGAAGCUAUGUUAACAAGUAAAAUUUGAAGAUUGGAUACAAACACUUGGUUUUGAAUGUUUAUCGUAUUACGAUUUUUUAGUUAUUUGAUGUUAUAGCUGGUAUUUCUAUUAGAAUGUAUUAUACGCUUUUGAUACACAUAUGUUUUAUAUAAUUUUGGGUUUUCGU
rnacentral:lncRNA from 1 species